AGUGAACGCUGGCGGUAGGCCUAACACAUGCAAGUCGAACGGCAGCACAGUAAGAGCUUGCUCUUACGGGUGGCGAGUGGCGGGCGGGUGAGGAAUACAUCGGAAUCUACUUUUUCGUGGGUGAUAACGUAGGGAAACUUACGCUAAUACCGCAUACGACCUACGGGUGAAAGCAGGGGAUCUUCGGACCUUGCGCGAUUGAAUGAGCCGAUGUCGGAUUAGCUAGUUGGCGGGGUAAGGGCCCACCAAGGCGACGAUCCGUAGCUGGUCUGAGAGGAUGAUCAGCCACACUGGAACUGAGACACGGUCCAGACUCCUACGGGAGGCAGCAGUGGGGAAUAUUGGACAAUGGGCGCAAGCCUGAUCCAGCCAUACCGCGUGGGUGAAGAAGGCCUUCGGGUUGUAAAGCCCUUUUGUUGGGAAAGAAAAGCAGCAGGUGAAUACCCCGCUGUUCUGACGGUACCCAAAGAAUAAGCACCGGCUAACUUCGUG
rnacentral:rRNA from 1 species